AGGACUCCCAACUCAAGUCCUGGACACGAGAAUCUAGCUAUGGUUACUCAACUCUCAGCCUAGCCUUCUCGCUUCUGGUCCCUCAGAAUCGAUGCUGGGAGAACCUGGCUACGGUCGAGGCUCAGAGGGCAGAAGGCUCGUGACUGCUAGGAACGGAAAAGCUGGCCACCGGACCUGCUGAGACCAGCACAGCUCUGCUAUUUCAUGUGCCAAUGACCUUCUCAGCAGUCUUUCUGGCAUAACCUUGAUGUCCACAACACUGGCAGCAACUUCCAGGCAAAGAAACUCUUUGGAACCCUAACCAUCUCCUUUCUGUCUUCAGUUUCCAUUCAAACAGGACCUGGAACAAAUAUGGAUGGGAAACAGAGUGUUGAUCUAGUUAGUCUGCAUGGUUUGGAGAACCUGCACAGUAAGGUGAACUGUCUCCAAAAUGAACCUUUAAGUGUCCAACUCCUUGGAGGCAGAGCCGGUUCUACAUUCUUGUAGUGACUUCAAAUAACCACAGGGAGGCACUGUGGUAGAAGAAGCUGUAACUGGAAAUACUGGACAUUUUGGACCACAGGAGGGUUGUCAGCCCCUUAAUGUUUGGCUACAGGAACAAAAAGCUGCCUUGAGCCACAGCUUGCCUUACUAGGAUGGAGCAUAUCCAGUGCCUGCCCAGGAGGAGGAUGCAGUCGUGCGACUAUCUGGACCUACUGUGAGAUGAGGACAAUUAAUAUCUCUAUGUGUAUUUGUGCAUAGUCAGACACUCUGGAUUUCAGGUGGUCACAGGACUAUCCAGACAAGGGCCAGGAAAGGAUGCUCUUCACUUGCUAACAUUCUGGGAAACUCAUUGCCUGUGGAAAUUUAUGCAAAAAUACAGACAAGAGAGUUUCAGUCCUUGAAGUACAUUGGAAGUAGGUGCACUGCUUUUUUUUUGUGAACUCUAAAUUCAUGUUUACUAAUGUAGCUACUGUUACUAAUUUAAGUCAAGUUUUAGAAAUUUAAACUUUUUUUCUCCAAGGGUCUUUGGAGGAAUGAUUGGUGUCUCUAACAACUCAGAUUAAUUAAAUUCUGUUAACCAACUUAAACUGAAAUUAAAAGUUGACACAGUUGUCAAGUACUUUGGUCCUCUGACUGACAAAUACAAUUUCAAACACACUGAUGUGCUGAAGAAAAUUUGUACAUCUUUUGAUUGUCAUGUUUCUAAAAUACUUUAAUAUUGUUCAGAAAUGAAACCAAACACCUGUAUAAAUUGCAGCUUAAAAUCAGAUGUAGAUAAAUUAGUUAGUUGUAUGGUUUAUUAUAAACUCUAAGUCUAGUUUCUUUGAUGAUCUUACAUUCAGAUUUCACAUUUUAAAUGGCUGAUUCCUGGGUACAUAUGCCCUCAUAUCAUGGCAUGGGGGACUGACACCUAAAUGUGGUACUCUCACAAGUUAUGCCCUUCUGAUUUAAAUGUGUUAUUAACUAAGUACUGUCCAUUAUUAAAAUCUGUACCAUCCUUACUAGAUCCCACCUUAGUCCACUCACUACUCAUUAAUUUUCUUAUUUCAAUCUUUUAGUGUAUUUCACUUUUUAAAAAAUAGCAUCAUUAAUAUGCUUAUAUCAUCCUUUAAUUUUUUGAACUUAAAAUUUUUUUAGAUGAGAAUUAAAGUAUAAUCAUUUAUUACAGUACCUAACAAGAACAAACAAGGACUAACUGGAAACUAUCAGGGUAUUUCUAUUAUAAUAAAAGCCAUGACAAUGAAAGUCAGAUUGUUAUAAACACUAAAAAUGCACAAACAUAAGGGCAGCAUUAGUGGGGACGCGAGAGAAAUGAGUUUCCAUGGCAAUAAGGCUUCAUUCAUUGGUUUCCUCUAUUAUCCUUUCAGUUAUACUCUAAAAGCUGAGAAGGCUGGAGGAGAAUGGGCAGAGACUGGAUCUGGCAGGUCUAGGCAGAGGCCUGGCCAGGGAACCUGUGCAAUCAGAGGAAUCAUUGCAGGUUGAACUGGAAAGACAGGCAAUAGAAGUCUUGAAUGCUAGGUUAGGGCUCACAAUUACAAUUUAAUUAUUUAUGUGAAGAGAGUUGCACCAUGAAUCAUCUGGAAGGAUGGGAGAAUGAACAGCAAAGAGGUGAGUGCAUGAACCACUCACCAUUUCACACAAAACAGACACAGAGACAGAAUAGCAACAACUGAGAUUCAGUAUCUUGAAAAAGACUAAAACAAAUAUUCCAGCAAGAAGUGCAGGAAUAUGCUUGGUCUCUUGCAAGGUAGAACUGACUCUCAUUACACUUUUCAAGGACGCUUUGUCUUCAGAGGGUCCAGGUGACUUUUAUCUUGGAUCAAGUAGAUUUAUAGAAACAAAAGGGAUUUCUCAAGAGUAAUUUUUGCUUGCUUUUGAGACAUGAUCUUAUAUAACCCAGAUUGGGCUUGAGGCUUGCUGUAUAGCUGAAGAUAAGCUUGAACUUCUGAUCCCCCUGUCUGGGAGUAUAGCCAUGCAUCACCAUGCCCAGCUCAAAAGUAAUUUAAAUAUAAAAAGAUAUGAGUUGCAAGAAAAUUUCUUGAGGGAGGAGUAAGAAGUACGUGGGAGGAAUCAUUCUUAAGCUGCCACGUUAUUUCUCUAGACUGAAGGUGUUUCACAGGUUGGUUGUAUGUCACUCAAACUCAAGUCGUUUUUGAAUAGUGGAGCCACUUUCCUUCUCUCUUCUCUUCUUUAGACCACUUCUGUGUGCUUCUGUGCACGUUGGGGAGGUUUAGGUUAGGGAUGCUGGAAAAGCACCAUCUCUUCAGGGAUGUCGGAGGUGCUGCAGUUCUCACUUUUGGUCUCGAUCACACCUCUCUCCCUUCUCUUGGUGCAGCAGUCCCUGGCUAGUCAGCCCCUGAAUUCUCUAUGCAUAAGAGCACUGACAUCUCCUACUGUCUUUUGAGUUGUGAAUAAUUUUAUGCAUCAAGUUUUGUUUAUCAAAUAGCAUAUUUAAGUAUUUUAAAGUCAUUUAAAAAGUGACUGUUAACUGGAAAACACAGGUGUUAGCUAAGAUAUUUCAUAGCUUGGAAUGUAAGAUGAAUUGAAUAAGGAAGGAUUGAACUACUACUAUUAAUGGUUGUCUCAGUCUGUCUUGUGUUAUAUAUAAGAAUUCAUCAGAACUCAUACUUUAUGGACAUGGAAGUCUGUUUAGCUUAUGAUGCUGAAGAUUGGGAAGUCCAAGAUGGAGGAAGUGCAUCUGGAAGGUAGUUCUUGCUGUAUCAUGACAUGGCAGAAAGCACCAUAUGGUGAAUUGUGCUACUUUUUAUUUAAGAACUCUGAUUUUAAAACAACCAAACCAAUUCCUCUAUGAUGACGUUACUUCAUUCACAGGGCAAAGCCUUCAUGACAGAAUCACUAUUUAAAUGUCCCACAUGUCAGCUGUUGCCCUAGGGUUAAGUUUCUAAUAUGAACUUGGAACAAAACAUUCAAGCCUUAGAAGAUAGAUUAGAAAAUUUCCUUCCUAAUAGCAUCAAUAUUAUUUGAUUUCACUAAAUGGUAUUGGUACUAUUUGAUGAGGGCUAAUAAAUACAGGCAUACUUCAGACGAUGAGAAAUUUUAGACUCUAGAGACACAAUAACUGGUCUUGACAUGUUUUUGGUUUAUAAAAGAGAACAAUAGGUUUGUAAUGAACACAGUAUAUUAAAUUCCUAUAAUUGAGGUAGAGAUGUUGAGUGGGUAUUCAGAAAUGAGACCCGAGACUUUAGCCCACAACAGGGCUGACAUACAGACACAGUGAAGAGAGGAUUCAUAAGAACGCUGAAGGAGAAAAGUCAAAAAUUUUGUUGUGAAAACUCUUCUAAAUUGCAUGUUUACUGGAUGUUCCUGGUAGAAGCAUCAGUUUCAGGAUUUCAACACACAGAAGAAUAUUGUAAAGUGCCACACCCAUUUCAAGAGCAUCCUUGUUCCUUGUGGCAUCUAUGAGAGAGGUCAUGCUGCCCAAGAGACUCUCCAAAUGACAGCAUAAAGUACACUGGAAUUGGACACGAAUGCCAUGUGGACUCAGACAUUAAAAAUAUCAAUUUAUAACACAUUACAAAUAAACUAACAAGAGCAUAGAACAAGGAAACAAUAUUGAAAAUUGUAAGAAAAUUACCAACACAUUUAUGAAGGCAAAUCUACCAGAAUAAUUUUGAUU